GACGAACGCUGGCGGCGUGCCUAAUACAUGCAAGUAGAACGCUGAAGCGAGGAGCUUGCUCUUCUUGGAUGAGUUGCGAACGGGUGAGUAACGCGUAGGUAACCUGCCUGGUAGCGGGGGAUAACUAUUGGAAACGAUAGCUAAUACCGCAUAAAAUUGAUUAUUGCAUGAUAAUUAAUUGAAAGAUGCAACUGCAUCACUACCAGAUGGACCUGCGUUGUAUUAGCUAGUUGGUGAGGUAACGGCUCACCAAGGCGACGAUACAUAGCCGACCUGAGAGGGUGAUCGGCCACACUGGGACUGAGACACGGCCCAGACUCCUACGGGAGGCAGCAGUAGGGAAAAUUCGGCGAUGGGGGGAACCCUGACCGAGCAACGCCGCGUGAGUGAAGAAGGUUUUCGGAUCGUAAAGCUCUGUUGUAAGAGAAGAACGGGUGUGAGAGUGGAAAGUUCACACUGUGACGGUAUCUUAACAGAAAGGGACGGCUAACUACGUG
rnacentral:rRNA from 1 species